rfam:Candidatus Methanomethylophilus sp. 1R26 contig_24, whole genome shotgun sequence.
GCGGGUGUAGUCCAGUUGGUUAAGACGGCGGCUUCCCAAGCCACUAACUCGGGUUCGAAUCCCGGCACCCGCA